rnacentral:RNase_P_RNA from 1 species
AUAGUCGCGUAUAGCAAUUUCGAAAGAAAGCGUACGAGGAAAGUCCGGGCUCCACAGAGCAAUAAUGCUGGAUAACGUCCAGUGAGGGAGACCUUAAGGAAAGUGCAACAGAAAAUAACCGCCAUAUAAUGGGGUUUUCCAUUUAUGGUAAGGAUGAAAAGGCGAGGUAAGAGCUCACCGCUGGUAUGGUGACAUACUGGGUCAGUGUAAACCCCAUUUGGAGCAACACCCUAAUAGAAGGCUAAGACUGCUCGUCAUCUUCUAAAUGAGGUGGCUUGAGACAUAUAGCAAUAUAUGUACUAGAUAAAUGACUAUUCAAGACAGAACCCGGCUUACAGAUUUAC